GACGAACGCUGGCGGCGUGCUUAACACAUGCAAGUCGAACGGAAAGGCCCUUCGGGGUACUCGAGUGGCGAACGGGUGAGUAACACGUGGGUGAUCUGCCCUGCACUUUGGGAUAAGCCUGGGAAACUGGGUCUAAUACCGAAUAUGAUCAUCGGCUUCAUGGUCGGUGGUGGAAAGCUUUUGCGGUGUGGGAUGAGCCCGCGGCCUAUCAGCUUGUUGGUGGGGUAAUGGCCUACCAAGGCGACGACGGGUAGCCGGCCUGAGAGGGUGACCGGCCACACUGGGACUGAGAUACGGCCCAGACUCCUACGGGAGGCAGCAGUGGGGAAUAUUGCACAAUGGGCGCAAGCCUGAUGCAGCGACGCCGCGUGAGGGAUGACGGCCUUCGGGUUGUAAACCUCUUUCAGCACAGACGAAGCGCAAGUGACGGUAUGUGCAGAAGAAGGACCGGCCAACUACGU
rnacentral:rRNA from 1 species